UGGGGAAUUUUGGACAAUGGGCGAAAGCCUGAUCCAGCAAUGCCGCGUGUGUGAAGAAGGCCUUCGGGUUGUAAAGCACUUUUGUCCGGAAAGAAAUCCUUGGCUCUAAUACAGUCGGGGGAUGACGGUACCGGAAGAAUAAGCACCGGCUAACUACGUGCCAGCAGCCGCGGUAAUACGUAGGGUGCAAGCGUUAAUCGGAAUUACUGGGCGUAAAGCGUGCGCAGGCGGUUUGCUAAGACCGAUGUGAAAUCCCCGGGCUCAACCUGGGAACUGCAUUGGUGACUGGCAGGCUAGAGUAUGGCAGAGGGGGGUAGAAUUCCACGUGUAGCAGUGAAAUGCGUAGAGAUGUGGAGGAAUACCGAUGGCGAAGGCAGCCCCCUGGGCCAAUACUGACGCUCAUGCACGAAAGCGUGGGGAGCAAACAGGUUUAGAUACCCUGGUAGUCCACGCCCUAAACGAUGUCAACUAGUUGUUGGGGAUUCAUUUCCUUAGUAACGUAGCUAACGCGUGAAGUUGACCGCCUGGGGAGUACGGUCGCAAGAUUAAAACUCAAAUGAAUUGACGGGGUCAUAGCUG
rnacentral:rRNA from 1 species